UGGAAGUAAAAAGUCGUAACAAGGUUUCCGUAGGUGAACCUGCGGAAGGAUCAUUACCGAGUGCGGGCCCUCUGGGUCCAACCUCCCACCCGUGUUUAUUGUACCUUGUUGCUUCGGCGGGCCCGCCGUCUUCGGACGGCCGCCGGGGAGGCCUCCGCGCCCCCGGGCCCGCGCCCGCCGAAGACCACAACAUGAACUCUGUUCUGAAGUUUUGCAGUCUGAGUUGAUUAUCAUAAUCAGUUAAAACUUUCAACAACGGAUCUCUUGGUUCCGGCAUCGAUGAAGAACGCAGCGAAAUGCGAUAACUAAUGUGAAUUGCAGAAUUCAGUGAAUCAUCGAGUCUUUGAACGCACAUUGCGCCCCCUGGUAUUCCGGGGGGCAUGCCUGUCCGAGCGUCAUUGCUGCCCUCAAGCACGGCUUGUGUGUUGGGCCCCCGUCCCCGCCUCACCGCGGGGACGGGCCCGAAAGGCAGCGGCGGCACCGCGUCCGGUCCUCGAGCGUAUGGGGCUUUGUCACCCGCUCUUGUAGGACCGGCCGGCGCCUGUCGACACCAACCCCAAUUUUUCUAAGGUUGACCUCGGAUCAGGUAGGGAUACCCGCUGAACUUAAGCAUAUCAAUAAAGCGGAGG
rnacentral:misc_RNA from 1 species